rnacentral:rRNA from 1 species
GGAAGGAUCAUUAUCGAACAGUGAUGGUGGAGCGACUGUUGCUGGCUGGGUUGCUUUCUAGCGAUCUUGCAUGUGCACGUCCUCUCACUACUCAUUAUCUACACACCUGUGCACCUUUUGUAGGUCCCCCUCGAGAGAGGAGCGAUCUAUGUUUUUCAUCACCUCACACAUGUCGUAUGGCUAGAAUGAAUACAAUAAGAUAAUACAACUUUCAGCAACGGAUCUCUUGGCUCUCGCAUCGAUGAAGAACGCAGCGAAUUGCGAUAAGUAAUGUGAAUUGCAGAUUUCCAGUGAAUCAUCGAAUCUUUGAACGCAUCUUGCGCUCCUUGGUAUUCCGAGGAGCAUGCCUGUUUGAGUGUCAUUAAAUUCUCAACCAUCSUCUCUUCUUGGUCGAAGGGUGGUAUGGCUUGGUGUUGGGAGUUGCUGGCAGGGAUGUCAGCUCUCCUUAAAUGCAUUAGCGAUCGAGUUGGCUAGUCUUUGACAUGCACGGCCUCGGACGUGAUAACGAUCGUCCUGGCUGGAGUGUCUGAUUUGUAGACUACGUGCAUAGAUGGCUUCUAAUCCUAAUCGUGAAGCAAGGCAACAGGGCAAGGUCAGAGUCUUUGGCAUGGAUGGCAUCUAUCKAGCUUUAGCUACUAGGCAGUCUGGCGAACGACUGGACUGGCGAACGUGAGCGAGAUUGGACCAAAAGUGUGAGUGCUUUGUCUUUGCUCGAGCUUUAGCUCUCGAUCGAGCGACU